rnacentral:rRNA from 1 species
UACGGGGGGGGCAAGCGUUGUUCGGAAUUACUGGGCGUAAAGGGCUCGUAGGUGGCCAACUAAGUCACACGUGAAAUCCCUCGGCUUAACCGGGGAACUGCGUGUGAUACUGGAUGGCUUGAGUUUGGGAGAGGGAUGCGGAAUUCCAGGUGUAGCGGUGAAAUGCGUAGAUAUCUGGAGGAACGCCGGUGGCGAAGGCGGCAUCCUGGACCAAUACUGACGCUGAGGAGCGAAAGCCAGGGGAGCAAACGGG